UACGUAGGGUGCAAGCGUUUAAUCGGAAUUACUGGGCGUAAAGCGUGCGCAGGCGGUUAUGUAAGACAGGUGUGAAAUCCCAGGGCUUAACCUUGGAACUGCAUUUGUGACUGCAUAGCUAGAGUACGGUAGAGGGGGGAUGGAAUUCCGCGUGUAGCAGUGAAAUGCGUAGAUAUGCGGAGGAACACCGAUGGCGAAGGCAAUCCCCCUGGACCUGUACUGACGCUCAUGCACGAAAAGCGUGGGGGAGCAAACA
rnacentral:rRNA from 1 species